UAGGAGAUGUGAAGCGAACCGAGCGAACUGAAACAUCUAAGUAGCUCGAGGAAAAGAAAUCAACCGAGAUUCCGGAAGUAGUGGCGAGCGAAACCGGAACAGCCUGUUAUUUUUAGCUUGCGCGUUAGUAGAAUGGAAUGGAAAGUCCAGCCGUAGAGGGUGAUAGCCCCGUAUACGAAAGCCCGCAAGUGGAACUAGGAUAACGACAAGUAGGGCGGGACACGAGAAAUCCUGUCUGAACAUGGGGGGACCAUCCUCCAAGGCUAAAUACUCGUAAUCGACCGAUAGUGAACUAGUACCGUGAGGGAAAGGUGAAAAGAACCCUGGGAGGGGAGUGAAAUAGAUUCUGAAAUCAUAUGCAUACAAACAGUAGGAGCCCUUCGGGGUGACUGCGUACCUUUUGUAUAAUGGGUCAGCGACUUACAUUCAGUAGCAAGCUUAACCGAUAGGGGAGGCGUAGCGAAAGCGAGUCCUAAUAGGGCGAUUUAGUUACUGGGUGUAGACCCGAAACCAAGUGAUCUAUCCAUGGCCAGGAUGAAGGUGCGGUAACACGUACUGGAGGUCCGAACCCACAAAUGUUGAAAAAUUUGGGGAUGAGCUGUGGAUAGGGGUGAAAGGCUAAACAAACUUGGAGAUAGCUGGUUCUCUCCGAAAACUAUUUAGGUAGUGCCUCGUGUAUAACUGCUGGGGGUAGAGCACUGUUAUGGCUAGGGGGCUCAUAA
rnacentral:rRNA from 1 species